AUUGAACGCUGGCGGCAUGCCUUACACAUGCAAGUCGAACGGUAACAGGUCUUCGGAUGCUGACGAGUGGCGAACGGGUGAGUAAUACAUCGGAACGAGCCCGAUCGUGGGGGAUAACGAAGCGAAAGCUUUGCUAAUACCGCAUAAGAUCUACGGAUGAAAGCAGGGGACCGCAAGGCCUUGCGCGAACGGAGCGGCCGAUGGCAGAUUAGGGAGUUGGUGGGAUAAAAGCUUACCAAGCCGACGAUCUGUAGCUGGUCGGAGAGGACGACCAGCCACACUGGGACUGAGACACGGCCCAGACUCCUACGGGAGGCAGCAGUGGGGAAUUUUGGACAAUGGGCGAAAGCCUGAUCCAGCCAUGCCGCGUGCAGGAUGAAGGCCUUCGGGUUGUAAACUGCUUUUGUACGGAACGAAAAGACUCUUUCUAAUAAAGAGGGUCCAUGACGGUACCGUAAGAAUAAGCACCGGCUAACUACGUGCCAGCCGCCGCGGUAA
rnacentral:rRNA from 1 species